rnacentral:lncRNA from 1 species
UUGUGGAGGGAUGGGAAAGGCAUACACACUGGGAAGCUGCACUGGGCAGCUUGCACUAACAGACUCAUUGGUCCAGUCAGGGUUCUCCAGCCGCCUGUGGAUUUUGGACUGUCACCUGCCAGAGAGGGUGCAACGGGAAAGGAAAUCAGGGCCAGAACACCUGGGGAGGUGGGUGAAGGCUGUGAUGAAAUUCCUUGGAAGAUUCAUUUGCCUUGGUAAAAUCACCAGGACUAGAUGCUGGAGCAGAAUGAAGAAGUCAGAGAAGAAAGCUUUCGGCUACACAGU